rnacentral:piRNA from 1 species
UGCCCAUGCUAUAGCCUGAAUGUCAUGUGU